GCACCGUUAGCUCAAUGGUAGAGCAGCUGACUCUUAAUCAGUAGGUUCUAGGUUCGAGUCCUAGACGGUGCAC
rnacentral:tRNA from 1 species